rnacentral:misc_RNA from 1 species
GAAAACAAAGCCAUUGUAGAAUAUAAACUGUUUGAUUAAAAGGGUUUAUUAUACCAUUUGUCUGAAUCUUUUAACCUUUUUGAGGUAGUGCACAGAAGGAUACCUAUAUAUUGCUCAAAAUCUGGAGAAACCUGACCACGGAAGGCACCUAAUAGAAUAUCACAGCUAAAUAACACUGCUUUCGAGUAGUGUUGCGUUCCUGUGGUAAAGUAGCUAGAGCUCCUGAGAAGGGGAAAGGGUUAUGAACGGGUUGGCAUUGUUUCUGGUGCUGCUGGCGUCCAUAUACUUUGGUAUCAAUUUCCAUUAGGCGAACCGUACGCUUGUAAAAGUUUGUCAUGGUAUAUAGAGCUGGCUUUUAUGAUUUUACUCAAUUCUCGUCCUAUUGCGUGCUGUUGCAUGUGAGACAUUUAUUAUUUACAAGGAUACAUAAUUAAAUGGUGCAAAAACAAUACCAAAGUGAAUAAAAAGUCUGAAGAAAUAUCGUUUCACACGUUUCCAAUGAAUAUUUUAAUAGGAGAUGAAUGGGUAGCUGCUUUACGACUGAGCCGAAAUGAACUACAACG